rnacentral:rRNA from 1 species
GACAGAGGCCUCGAGCGUUAGGCGGAAUCACUGGGCUUAAGGCGUGUGUAGGCGGGCCCGUAAGUGUCUUGUGAAAUCCCACGGCUCAACCGUGGAACUGCUGGGCAUACUGCGGGUCUUGGGCCAACUAGGGGCAGCCGGAACAAGCGGUGGAGCGGUGAAAUGCGUAGAUAUCGCUUGGAACGCCGAAGGUGAAAACAGGCUGCUGGGGUUGCGCCGACGCUGAGACACGAAAGCCAGGGGAGCAAACGGG